AGGACAGGACAGGAGAGGAGGGGUGUCUAGACAGGACAGGACAGGAGAGGAGAGGAGGGCUGUCUAGUAAGGACAGGACAGGAGAGGAGAGGAGAGCUGUCUAGUAAGGACAGGAGAGGAGAGGAGAGCUGUCUAGUAAGGACAGGAGAGGAGAGGAGAGGAGAGGAGAGCUGUCUAGUAAGGACAGGAGAGGAGAGGAGGGCUGUCUAGUAAGGACAGGAGAGGAGAGGAGGGCUGUCUAGUAAGGACAGGACAGGAGAGGAGGGCUGUCUAGUAAGGACAGGAGAGGAGAGGAGGGCUGUCUAGUAAGGACAGGAGAGGAGAGGAGGGCUGUCUAGUAAGGACAGGAGAGGAGAGGAGGGGUGUCUAGUAAGGACAGGACAGGAGAGGAGGGCUGUCUAGUAAGGACAGGAGAGGAGAGGAGAGGAGAGCUGUCUAGUAAGGACAGGAGAGGAGGGGUGUCUAGUAAGGACAGGAGAGGAGAGGAGGGCUGUCUAGUAAGGACAGGAGAGGAGGGCUGUCUAGUAAGGACAGGAGAGGAGAGGAGGGCUGUCUAGUAAGGACAGGACAGGAGAGGAGGGGUGUCUAGUAAGGACAGGAGAGGAGAGGAGGGGAGGGCUGUCUAGUAAGGACAGGACAGGAGAGGAGAGGAGGGCUGUCUAGUAAGGACAGGACAGGAGAGGAGAGCUGUCUAGUAAGGACAGGAGAGGAGAGGAGGGCUGUCUAGUAAGGACAGGAGAGGAGAGGAGAGGAGAGCUGUCUAGUAAGGACAGGAGAGGAGGGGAGGGCUGUCUAGUAAGGACAGGACAGGAGAGGAGAGGAGAGCUGUCUAGACAGGAGAGGACAGGAGGGGUGUCUAGUAAGGACAGGAGAGGACAGGAGGGCUGUCUAGUAAGGACAGGACAGGAGAGGAGGGCUGUCUCUCUCCCUAUCCCCCCUCACUAUCUAUCUCUCUCCUUCUGCCCCUCUCUCGCUGUCCCUCUCCCCCCUCUCUCUCAGUAACAGUGUGUAUGUUUGGUUGUUCUCUUUAGCUGAGGAUGUGGAGUUGAGGCGGUACUGUGCCUCGCUGUUUGCUGUGUCAUCCUGCGGGGGCAGCGCUGAGCCAGAAUCCUCACCUGGAUCGUGUCUGAGCAUAGAGGUGUUAGAUGAGGAGACAGUUAGAGACAGAGGGUUUGUCACUGAACAGAAGGCAGAAGACAACACAAAGUAAGACAAAGGUUUCCUCUGAAGCCACAGCAACAUCACACACUUCAUUAUAUCAACUUCACUUUGGAGAAGUGGACUGACUGCUUGAUGUGAUUAUUACUACAAAGGAGAAUAUUAUUGAGAAAUGUUGCCUUUUAGAGGAGGGAGAGGGAACACUGUGGAUAGAGGAGGGCUGGGUGUUGAGAGAGGGAACACUGUGGAUAGAGGAGGGCUGGGUGUUGAGAGAGGGAACACUGUGGAUAGAGCAGGGCUGGGUGUUUAGAGAGGGAACACUGUGGAUAGAGGAGGGCUGGGUGUUGAAAGAGGGAACACUGUGGAUAGAGCAGGGCUGGGUGUUUAGAGAGGGAACACUGUGGAUAGAGGAGGGCUGGGUGUUUAGAGAGGGAACACUGUGGAUAGAGGAGGGCUGGGUGUUGAGAGAGGGAACACUGUGGAUAGAGGAGGGUUGGGUGUUGAGAGAGGGAACACUGUGGAUAGAGGAGGGC
rnacentral:lncRNA from 1 species